rnacentral:tRNA from 1 species
GGGGAUGUAGCUCAGUGGUAGAGUGCUUGCCUAGCAUGUGCAAGGCCCUGUAUUCGCUUGAGUUCAUUUGUGGCUUUAUGUACUAUCAUCUUCA